rnacentral:rRNA from 1 species
AUUGAACGCUAACGGCGUGCUUAACACAUGCAAGUCGAGCGGCAGCAUGACCUGUAGCAAUACAGAUUGAUGGCGAGCGGCGGACGGGUGAGUAACGCAUAGGAAUCUGCCUUGUAGUGGGGGAUAACCCGGGGAAACUCGGGCUAAUACCGCAUAAUCUCUACGGAGCAAAGUGGGGGAUCGUAAGACCUCACGCUAAAAGAUGAGCCUAUGUUGGAUUAGCUAGUUGGUGAGGUAAUGGCUCACCAAGGCGACGAUCCAUAGCUGGUCUGAGAGGAUGAUCAGCCACACUGGGACUGAGACACGGCCCAGACUCCUACGGGAGGCAGCAGUGGGGAAUAUUGGACAAUGGGCGAAAGCCUGAUCCAGCAACGCCGUGUGUGUGAAGAAGGCCUUCGGGUUGUAAAGCACUUUUAGUUGGGAAGAAAAGCUCAUGGGUAAUAUCCAUGAGUGCUGACGUUACCAACAGAAAAAGCACUGGCUAACUCUGUGCCAGCCGCCGCGGUAA